UACUGAAAGAGAUGGAAAGAGGAAAUUUGAAUCCUCACUCUACCUCUGAUUAGUUUUACUGAGAAAUCCACAAACCACUGCCAUAAAGAGACAGAAGGAAGGAAACCAAGAGAGAAGUCACAACGUUCAACUCUUCACAUAGAAUCAUAGAUCACAGAAUGGUGAUUCACAUGUUCUUCUURUGUGUGCCAUUACAAGCACAGUUCAAAUUUGAGACUGUUCUUGUCUGCAGCAUGAAGUAUCUGAAAAUAAAUGA